CUUUAUUCAUAUUCGUUAAAAUCCGUUUAUCUAAUUGGAAUCAUUCGAGUAUUCAUAUACGCGCAAGUGCAGUAUUCCAAAAUAACAAUUCUAGAAUUCCAGCAUCGUAUACUGUAAAUACUCGUACACAUUUUUGAUUUCUGAGCAAGUUCAGCAUUCCUGCAUCUGCACCCCCGUGUCAAAUAUUCGCACGCGUUUAGUAUCCUAACAUCAGGCAAAUGAUCUCCACGACCACGCUUACAGGACAAUGCCCUUUACAAGAAAUUUUCCAUAAAAUAUCACUGGUUUCGUUGCUUGUGUGACACGUAGCGCCGUCUUGUUGAAAAUAAACGUUGUUCAGAUCAAUACCAUCCAAUUCAGGCCAUAAAAAAUUGUUUAUCAUCUCUCCUGUUUAACACCUAACACCUAUUAUUGGAAAACCCUUUAUUAUAUGUAUUUUUUGUUAAUAAUUCGCGUAAAAACACAUUCAAUUAAAAAUAUGGCUUGCAACUAUUUUAACUUUUGGUUGAAAUAUUUAAAUAAG